UACAGAGGUCUCAAGCGUUGUUCGGAUUCAUUGGGCGUAAAGGGUGCGCAGGCGGCCAAGUGUGUGAGGCGUGAAAGCCCGGGGCUUAACUCCGGAAUUGCACCUCAAACUACACGGCUAGAGCAUUGGAGAGGGUAGCAGAAUUCAUGGUGUAGCAGUGAAAUGCGUAGAUAUCAUGAGGAAUACCAGAGGCGAAGGCGGCUACCUGGACAAUUGCUGACGCUCAGGCACGAAAGCGUGGGGAGCAAAAGGG
rnacentral:rRNA from 1 species